GACGAACGCUGGCGGCGUGCUUAACACAUGCAAGUCGAACGGAAAGGCCCUGCUUUUGUGGGGUGCUCGAGUGGCGAACGGGUGAGUAACACGUGAGUAACCUGCCCUUGACUUUGGGAUAACUUCAGGAAACUGGGGCUACUACCGGAUAGGAGCUCCUGCUGCAUGGUGGGGGUUGGAAAGUUUCGGCGGUUGGGGAUGGACGCGCGGCUUACCAGCUUGUUGGUGGGGUAGUGGCUUACCAAGCCUUUGACGGGUCGCCGGCCUGAGAGGGUGACCGGCCACAUUGGGACUGAGAUACGGCCCAGACUCCUACGGGAGGCAGCAGUGGGGAAUAUUGCACAAUGGGCGGAAGCCGGAUGCAGCAACGCCGCGUGCGGGAUGACGGCCUUCUGGUUGUAAACCGCUUUCGCCUGUGACGAAGCGGGAGUGACGGUAAUGGGUAAAGAAGCACCGGCUAACUACGUG
rnacentral:rRNA from 1 species